UGAGGAACAUGACCUUCGGCGGGGGAUAGCCGGCCCAACGGCCGGGUAAUACCGCGUACGACCUGUUGGGGACAUCCCCGAUUGGUGAAAGCAGCAAUGCGCCGAAAGAGUGCCUCGCGGCCUAUCAGCUAGUUGGUGGGUAAUGGCUCACCAAGGCGACGACGGGUANCUGGUCUGAGAGGAUGGCCAGCCACAUUGGGACUGAGACACGGCCCAGACCUCCGUACGGGAGNACG
rnacentral:rRNA from 1 species